UUCUUACGUUGUGCCGGUUUGAUUAAAUGUAAAAAUAAAUUUAUAUGUAGUAUGCAUGUAAAAAUAUAAAUGAUAAGGUUUAACACACUAAACCAAAUAUUUAAACUUAUUUCAAAAUGUCAACCUUUUACCGAACCGCGAACCACAAUAUGAAUUAAUAUAUACACGCUCACAAACGGGGCAAGUGAAGCAAUCGAUUGCUGGUGAUAGUUGGUGUGGGAGAGGAAAGGAAAUAGAAAGGAGAAAAAGUAGUAGUGUAACGGAAAAUGAAGGAAAAGACAAGCCACAACUUGGAAAUUUAAAAGAUGAAUAUUCCCACAAUUCAAAACGCUAAAUUAAUAACAGAGAGUGAAGAAAACAAUGCCGCCGUAAUUUUAAUAAAUUGUGUAUCACUAGAAACCUCAAAAUCUCAAUAUUUUGCAAUUCUCACACCAAAUGUUCAACCAACCUGUAACCAACAACAAACAAGCCAAACACAAAAUGUCCACCUGGAAACGCUAAAGAAAUACACAAAUAAUUUCGCCAAAUGCAAUUUUCGAAAACAAUUUCUGCCAAUUAAAGUUUUGUCGAAUUGUUCGAUGGGCCACAUAAAUUAAAGAAAAGACCAAACAACACGGUUUUCGCUUACACUAAAAAGUAUAUUUCUCCGUUGAGCAUUUCAAAACAAAAAAUCAGAAAAUUUCGCAACAUCAUCAUCUUCAUCAUCAUUCAUCAUCAAAUCAGUUCCACAUUUUAUGCAAAUGAGCGCAGCAUACAAAGCGCGACCACAUUUUGCAGGGCAAAUACAAAACAUACAGUACAUACUAAAUAUCGCUUAAAUGUAAGAGAAUACAACGGCGGCCAAAAAACAACACACAAAUACAAAAUUUCCAAAAACAAAAUACAAACAAAAAUUAAAAAACAAAAACUAAAACCAAUAGAUAGGCAGUAACGGUACGUUUGAGUGGGGUUGACUUCGUUAAAAUCUGUUCUCAAAAGAAAUACAAGUCGCAGAAGUAAUAAACGAAGAAAAAAACAAUUUGGUAGU